rnacentral:rRNA from 1 species
UACGUAGGGUCCGAGCGUUGUCCGGAAUUAUUGGGCGUAAAGAGUUCGUAGGCGGUUAUUUAAGUCUGGUGUUAAAGACGGGAGCUCAACUCCCGCAUGGCAUUGGAAACUGGAUAGCUAGAGUACGGUAGAGGUCUCGGGAAUUCCAGGUGUAGCGGUGAAAUGCGUAGAUAUCUGGAGGAACACCGGUGGCGAAAGCGCGAGACUGGGCCGUAACUGACGCUGAGGAACGAAAGCCAGGGUAGCCAAAGGG